rnacentral:rRNA from 1 species
CCUACGGGAGGCUGCAGUGGGGAAUCUUGGACAAUGGGGGCAACCCUGAUCCAGCCAUGCCGCGUGUGUGAAGAAGGCCUUCGGGUUGUAAAGCACUUUCAGCAGGGAGGAAGGCUUACCCCUAAUACGGGUGAGUACUUGACGUUACCUGCAGAAGAAGCACCGGCUAAUUUCGUGCCAGCAGCCGCGGUAAUACGAAAGGUGCAAGCGUUAAUCGGAAUUACUGGGCGUAAAGCGCGCGUAGGCGGUGUGUUAAGUCGGAUGUGAAAGCCCAGGGCUCAACCUUGGAAUUGCAUCCGAUACUGGCACGCUAGAGUGCAGUAGAGGGAGGUGGAAUUUCCGGUGUAGCGGUGAAAUGCGUAGAGAUCGGAAGGAACACCAGUGGCGAAGGCGGCCUCCUGGACUGACACUGACGCUGAGGUGCGAAAGCGUGGGGAGCAAACAGGAUUAGAUACCCCAGUAGUC